CAGAGCAGGGCAGGGAAGGUGGGAGAGGGGCCCAGCUGACCCUCCUGCCGCCUGCUCCUUGCCCAG
ensembl:miRNA